UACGGAGGGUGCGAGCGUUAAUCGGCAUUACUGGGCGUAAAGGGCGCGUGGGCGGGGGGUUACGUCUGCCGUGAAAUCCCCGGGCUCAACCUGGGAAUGGCGGUGGAAACGGGCUGACUGGAGUAUGGGAGAGGGUGAUGGAAUUCCAGGUGUAGCGGUGAAAUGCGUAGAGAUCUGGAGGAACACCAGUGGCGAAGGCGGUCACCUGGCCCAAUACUGACGCUGAGGCGCGAAAGCGUGGGGAGCAAACAGG
rnacentral:rRNA from 1 species